GUGGCUGAAUUCCUUCAGCAAAAUUAUUUUAAUGGCCACUAACUACUGAGUGCUGUCAACUCUGUGCUGAAACAAUGGCCUGAGGACUACGGCCUGAGUCGCAUCUUCACCACAGGCUGAAUAUUUUGGGAGAUGAACAAGAAUAUCACAAGGACCUCACAGGAUGUGAGAGAAAUCUAGGUAAAGUGUACUGUUGUUGCCACAUCCUGUUCCUUUUGCUGUCUCUCCCAUGAAACUCAACUUCCUGAUGAGCAACAGUUGGCAAACUGAAACCAGUGUGCCAAAUCUGGAUUACCGUUUUUGUCCGGCCCAAGAGCUAAGAAUAAGAAUGGUGACUGCAUUUUUAAAUGGUUG